GACGAACGCUGGCGGCGUGCUUAACACAUGCAAGUCGAACGAUGAAGCCGGAGCUUGCUCUGGUGGAUUAGUGGCGAACGGGUGAGUAACACGUGAGUAACCUGCCCUUGACUCUGGGAUAAGCGUUGGAAACGACGUCUAAUACCGGAUACGAGCUAGCACCGCAUGGUCACUAGCUGGAAAGAACUUCGGUCAAGGAUGGACUCGCGGCCUAUCAGCUAGUUGGUGAGGUAACGGCUCACCAAGGCGACGACGGGUAGCCGGCCUGAGAGGGUGACCGGCCACACUGGGACUGAGACACGGCCCAGACUCCUACGGGAGGCAGCAGUGGGGAAUAUUGCACAAUGGGCGCAAGCCUGAUGCAGCAACGCCGCGUGAGGGACGACGGCCUUCGGGUUGUAAACCUCUUUUAGCAGGGAAGAAGCGCAAGUGACGGUACCUGCAGAAAAAGCACCGGCUAACUACGUGCCAGCCGCCGCAGUAAGAC
rnacentral:rRNA from 1 species